GUCAGGAUGGCCGAGUGGUCUAAGGCGCCAGACUCAAGGAUAAUCUCCUUCCGUAGAGACGGGACUUCUGGUCUCCGAAUGGAGGCGUGGGUUCGAAUCCCACUUCUGACA
rnacentral:tRNA from 1 species